ACGGGUGCGUAACGCGUGGGAAUCUGCCCUUGGGUUCGGAAUAACAGUUGGAAACGACUGCUAAUACCGGAUGAUGACGUAAGUCCAAAGAUUUAUCGCCCAGGGAUGAGCCCGCGUAGGAUUAGCUAGUUGGUGAGGUAAAGGCUCACCAAGGCGACGAUCCUUAGCUGGUCUGAGAGGAUGAUCAGCCACACUGGGACUGAGACACGGCCCAGACUCCUACGGGAGGCAGCAGUAGGGAAUAUUGGACAAUGGGCGAAAGCCUGAUCCAGCAAUGCCGCGUGAGUGAUGAAGGCCUUAGGGUUGUAAAGCUCUUUUACCCGAGAUGAUAAUGACAGUAUCGGGAGAAUAAGCCCCGGCUAACUCCGUGCCAGCAGCCGCGGUAAUACGGAGGGGGCUAGCGUUGUUCGGAAUUACUGGGCGUAAAGCGCACGUAGGCGGUUAUUCAAGUCAGGGGUGAAAGCCCAGUGCUCAACACUGGAACUGCCCUUGAAACUAGAUAACUUGAAUCCAGGAGAGGUGAGUGGAAUUCCGAGUGUAGAGGUGAAAUUCGUAGA
rnacentral:rRNA from 3 species